rnacentral:misc_RNA from 1 species
UGGUUCUCGCAUCGAUGAAGAACGCAGCGAAAUGCGAUAAGUAAUAUGAAUUGCAGAUAUUCGUGAAUCAUCGAAUCUUUGAACGCACAUUGCGCCCUCUGGUAUUCCGGAGGGCAUGCCUGUUUGAGCGUCAUUUCUCUCUCAAGCCCUCGGGUUUGGUGUUGAGUGAUACUCCCAGUCGGACUAGGCGUUUUCUUGAAAGGUCUCGGCGUGAGCUACGACAAUGUAUUAGGUUCAUCCAACUCGUUGUCAGCAGCGCACGCGCCCUUACAAAACAACCAAAGUUUGACCUCAAAUCAGGUAGGAUUACCCGCUGA